ACGCUCGACACCUACGGGAGGCAGCAGUCGGGAAUAUUGCGCAAUGGAGGGAACUCUGACGCAGUGACGCCGCGUAUAGGAAGAAGGUUUUCGGAUUGUAAACUAUUGCCGUUAGGGAAGAGAAAGGACAGUACCUAAGGAGGAAGCUCCGGCUAACUACGUGCUAGCAGCCGCGGUAAUCUGAGCGGGCUGGCAAGGC
rnacentral:rRNA from 1 species